rnacentral:rRNA from 1 species
UUUGAUCCUGGCUCAGGACGAACGCUGGCGGCGUGCCUAAUACAUGCAAGUCGAACGCUUUGAUUUUCACCGGAGCUUGCUCCACCGAAAAUCAAAGAGUGGCGGACGGGUGAGUAACACGUGGGCAACCUGCCCAACAGAGGGGGAUAACACUUGGAAACAGGUGCUAAUACCGCAUAAUUUGUUUUCCCGCAUGGGAGAAUAAUAAAAGACGCUUCGGUGUCACUGUUGGAUGGGCCCGCGCUGCAUUAGUUAGUUGGUGGGGUAANGGCCUACCAAGACCGUGAUGCAUAGCCGACCUGAGAGGGUGAUCGGCCACACUGGGACUGAGACACGGCCCAGACUCCUACGGGAGGCAGCAGUAGGGAAUCUUCGGCAAUGGACGAAAGUCUGACCGAGCAACGCCGCGUGAGUGAAGAAGGUUUUCGGAUCGUAAAACUCUGUUGUUAGAGAAGAACAAGUGGAGAGUAACUGUUCCCACCUUGACGGUAUCUAACCAGAAA